rnacentral:lncRNA from 1 species
GUGUAAUAGUGAAGGAAGCACAGAGAGGUGAUAGAAAAAAAAAGUCAGAGAAAAACUGAUCUUAUCUGGUUUAAGUGCAGCUUCUAUUUCUACAUUUAUUACCCAUACAAAACACUUUGUGAUCAUCUGCAUCACAUCAGAGUGGAUCAGAGUGCAGUGAGGAUGGGGCACACUUUGCUCUGCAUGACGGGGUUUUUCUAAAGUUGUAGAAGUUUUCAGACGUGUCACUGCUGGAUGUGAGGAUGGGAGCCACUUUGCUCUGUGAGCUGGGCCUAUUCUUGCUCUGUACGCUCCUCUGCACUGGACACGCUCAAGAUGCUGUGCUAACUAUUGAACCCAACUGGUCCAGUUUUUUCAUUGGAGAGUUUGUUACCUUCAAAUGUGACAUGAAAGAAGGAGAAGACACUGACUGGUAUUACAAUAUCAACAGGGAUGGUCAGGGAUUUCUCCCCUACGACACAGAAAAAGACAAGAAAUUUAAACUGUUUUCUACAGAUUACAGUGGUGAAUAUCAGUGCUCUGGUCGCAGGAAGAGAUCACAUGAUACAAAGAUCAGUAAUACUGUCUCUAUAACUGUACUAGGUAAGUCCUCAAUGACCAAUAAUGUGAUGAUUCCUGUUGAAAAUCAUCUGAAUUAUAAAAUUCUGAAUACAUUUAAUUAAUGUUGUCACUGAAACUUGAAACUUUAAGGACUACUGUAUUUUA